rnacentral:rRNA from 1 species
CUACGGGAGGCUCCAGUGAGGAAUAUUGCACAAUGGGGGGAACCCUGAUGCAGCAACGCCGCGUGGAGGAUGACGCAUUUCGGUGUGUAAACUCCUUUUAUAUGUCAAGAAAAUGACGGUAGCAUAUGAAUAAGCACCGGCUAACUCCGUGCCAGCAGCGCGGUAAUACGGAGGGUGCAAGCGUUAGUCGGAAUAACUGGGCGUAAAGGACUCGUAGGCGGGUUGGAAAGUCAGGUGUGAAAUCCUACAGCUUAACUGUAGAACUGCACUUGAAACUUCUAAUCUAGAGUAUGGGAGGGGGAGAUGGAAUUAGUGGUGUAGGGGUAAAAUCCGUAGAUAUCACUAGGAAUACCUAAAGCGAAGGCGAUCUCCUGGAACAUUACUGACGCUAAGGCGUGAAAGCGUGGGGAGCAAACAGGAUUAGAUACCCCCGUAGUC